GCCAUUUGACUGCACCAGAUGGCUGUGUGCGAGUGUGUUUCUUUUGACAAUGUCAAUGAAGCACCGGACUACAGCCAUAUAGUUUUGAACCUAGAAGAAGACAGAGAGACGGGAGUAGGCAAGAAGGAGUAGGCUGAAAUUGGUAUGAAAAAUGUUGUGUUGGUCAGAAAAGCAUGGUGCUACAGAGACAGAAGAUUCCAAGAACCUCCAGAGCCUUUAGACCAACUACCUGCGAUCUCUCCAGAGAACAGAGAAGUGAGUCUGCUGGGCUAUGGAACUCUAGAGCAGCACAUAAAAAACCUGCCACCCUGUUGUCAGCUAUCCGCAGACCGUUCACUGAGGAAGGAUGGAUCUAUCAAGGCUUUCAAUUGCCACAUUUUGGG